ACGCUGGCGGCGUCCUAUACAUGCAAGUCGAACGAAACUUUCUUACACCGAAUGCUUGCAUUCACCGUAAGAAGUUGAGUGGCGGACGGGUGAGUAACACGUGGGUAACCUGCCUAAAAGAAGGGGAUAACACUUGGAAACAGGUGCUAAUACCGUAUAUCUCUAAGGAUCGCAUGAUCCUUAGAUGAAAGAUGGUUCUGCUAUCGCUUUUAGAUGGACCCGCGGCGUAUUAACUAGUUGGUGGGGUAACGGCCUACCAAGGUGAUGAUACGUAGCCGAACUGAGAGGUUGAUCGGCCACAUUGGGACUGAGACACGGCCCAAACUCCUACGGGAGGCAGCAGUAGGGAAUCUUCCACAAUGGACGCAAGUCUGAUGGAGCAACGCCGCGUGAGUGAAGAAGGUCUUCGGAUCGUAAAACUCUGUUGUUAGAGAAGAACACGAGUGAGAGUAACUGUUCAUUCGAUGACGGUAUCUAACCAGCAAGUCACGGCUAACUACGUGCCAGCAGCCGCGGUAAUACGUAGGUGGCAAGCGUUGUCCGGAUUUAUUGGGCGUAAAGGGAACGCAGGCGGUCUUUUAAGUCUGAUGUGAAAGCCUUCGGCUUAACCGGAGUAGUGCAUUGGAAACUGGAAGACUUGAGUGCAGAAGAGGAGAGUGGAACUCCAUGUGUAGCGGUGAAAUGCGUAGAUAUAUGGAAGAACACCAGUGGCGAAAGCGGCUCUCUGGUCUGUAACUGACGCUGAGGUUCGAAAGCGUGGGUAGCAACAGGAUAGA
rnacentral:rRNA from 2 species